CUGGUUGCAACUGGUGGAUAGUGUUCUGUUGUAGAGUCGAUCUAAGCACCAGUUGAAAUCAGAGC
rnacentral:pre_miRNA from 1 species